AGGACGAACGCUGGCGGUGUGCUUAACACAUGCAAGUGGAGCGACGAACCAGGGCUUGCCCUGGGGCAGAGCCGCGAACGGGUGAGUAACACGUGGGUAACCUACCCCGAUGACUGGGACAACCCGAGGAAACUCGGGCUAAUACCGGAUAUGUCCGGCGUUCACCAGAACGUCGAGCAAAGGAAGCUUCGGCCUCCGCAUUGGGAGGGGCCCGCGGCCCAUUAGCUUGUUGGUGGGGUGAUGGCCUACCAAGGCGGUGACGGGUA
rnacentral:rRNA from 1 species